UGACAACGAAAUCUGUAGUGCCAACAUA
rnacentral:piRNA from 1 species